rnacentral:rRNA from 1 species
GAUGAACGCUGGCGGCGUGCCUAAUACAUGCAAGUCGAGCGAACAGAUAAGGAGCUUGCUCCUUUGACGUUAGCGGCGGACGGGUGAGUAACACGUGGGUAACCUACCUAUAAGACUGGAAUAACUCCGGGAAACCGGGGCUAAUGCCGGAUAACAUUUAGAACCGCAUGGUUCUAAAGUGAAAGAUGGUUUUGCUAUCACUUAUAGAUGGACCCGCGCCGUAUUAGCUAGUUGGUAAGGUAACGGCUUACCAAGGCAACGAUACGUAGCCGACCUGAGAGGGUGAUCGGCCACACUGGAACUGAGCCACGGUCCAGACUCCUACGGGAGGCCGCAGUAGGGAAUCUUCCGCAAUGGGCGAAAGCCUGACGGAGCAACGCCGCGUGAGUGAUGAAGGUCUUCGGAUCGUAAAACUCUGUUAUUAGGGAAGAACAAAUGUGUAAGUAACUGUGCACGUCUUGACGGUACCUAAUCAGAAAGCCACGGCUAACUACGUG